AUUGAACGCUGGCGGCAUGCCUUACACAUGCAAGUCGAACGGUAACAGGAUAAGCUGACGAGUGGCGAACGGGUGAGUAAUAUAUCGGAACGUGCCCAAUCGUGGGGGAUAACGCAGCGAAAGUUGUGCUAAUACCGCAUAAGAUCUACGGAUGAAAGCGGGGGAUCGCAAGACCUCGCGCGAGUGGAGCGGCCGAUAUCAGAUUAGCUAGUUGGUGGGGUAAAGGCCCACCAAGGCGACGAUCUGUAGCUGGUCUGAGAGGACGACCAGCCAAACUGGGACUGAGACACGGCCCAGACUCCUACGGGAGGCAGCAGUGGGGAAUUUUGGACAAUGGGCGCAAGCCUGAUCCAGCAAUGCCGCGUGCAGGAUGAAGGCCUUCGGGUUGUAAACUGCUUUUGUACGGAGCGAAAAAGCUCUCUCUAAUACAGAGGGCUCAUGACGGUACCGUAAGAAUAAGCACCGGCUAACUACGUGCCAGCCGCCGCCGUAA
rnacentral:rRNA from 1 species